rnacentral:rRNA from 1 species
AUUGAACGCUGGCGGCAGGCCUAACACAUGCAAGUCGAGCGAGCGGCGGACGGGUGAGUAAUGUAUGGGGACUGCCCGAUAGAGGGGGAUAACUACUGGAAACGGUAGCUAAUACCGCAUACUAUCGGAUAACCCAUAUGGGAUUAGCUAGUCGGUGAGGUAAUGGCUCACCUAGGGGACGAUCCCUAGCUGUUCUGAGAGGAUGAUCAGCCACAGUGGGACUGAGACACGGACCAAACUCCGACGGAGGCAGCAGUGGGGAAUAUUGCACAAUGGGCGCAAGCCUGAUGCAGCCAUGCCGCGUGUAUGAAGAAGGCCAUAGGGUUGUAAAGUACUUUCAGUCGGGAGGCGUUACCGACAGAAGAAGCACCGGCUAACUCCGUGCCAGCAGCCGCGGUAAUUC